rnacentral:rRNA from 1 species
AUGGGAUAUUGUUGCCAGUGCUUUUCCGGAAGGGAGGACUCUGGGAAACUGUUACUCAACCUGGUUUUCGGUCCUGAAUGUCUGUGCCCUGAACAGUUAAAGGGGGCUUUUGACAUAAUCAUAAAAAAAUGUGCUGGUUUGCCACUAGCAACCAUUUGUGUAUCCGGUCUUUUAACAACCCAACCGGACAACCCUAAGCUAUGGCAGCAUGUGCAGGAAUUUUUAUGUUCCAAUUUGAGUACUGAUUCUACUUUGGAAGAGAGACUGCAGGAAAUACUAAAGCUUAGUUACAAUAGUCUUCCUCACUAUUUGAAGACAUGCUUGAUGUACCUUAGUAUGUAUCCAGAGGGUUACACAAUGCAGAAGUUUGAUUUGGUUAAGCAAUGGACAGCCGAAGGUUUCAUCUGUGCAAUAGAAGGAACAGACACAUGGGAAGAGGUCGCAGAUAGCUAUUUUGAAGAGCUUGUCAACAGGGGAAUAAUCCAACCCGUGGAUAUCAACUACAAUGGUGAGGUGUUAUCCUGCACACUACACCACGUUGUUCAUGAUCUUAUUACACUCGAGUCCACUGAAGAGAGAUUUAUCACUGCAUUAGAUUACUCACAGACCAUCAGAGGACAUUAUAGCAAGGCUCGUCGGCUAUCGUUCCACUUCAGCAAUCCCAGAUAUGCAAAGAAACCAACUGGUCUAACACUGUCAAAAGUCCGAUCAAUUGGCUUUUUUGGAAUCCUCAAGUGUCUGCCUACAAUUGUGGGACUUAAGCAUCUCCAAGUUCUAAUCCUGGAGUUUUGGGGUGAUCAACAGGGGAUCAAUUGUUUUGACCUCACAGGAAUUUGCAGAUUGUUUCAGCUGAGAUAUUUGAAGAUCUCCUGCGAUGCCAGUGUAGAAGUAGAAUUACCAACCCAGAUGCAUAUGCUGCGAUACUUGGAAACAGUGAUAAUUGAUGCAGCAGUGUCUGCAGUUCCAUCAGAUAUUAUUCAUGUCCCGGGGUUGUUGCAUCUUUCUCUUGGAGAUAAGACAGAUCUACCUGAUGAGAUUGGCCACAUCAGAUCUCUGCGUACACUACAUUGCUUCGACCUUAGCAGUAACUCUGAAGACAAUGUAUUGAGCCUUGGUGACUUGAUGAACCUGCAGGAUCUUAACCUCACUUACUGUACAGAGGAGUCAGAUGAACAUCUGAAGAGAAACCUGACAGCUCUAGCCUCUUCUCUUGGGAAACUUGUGAACCUCAAAUCUGUCUCUCUGGCUCCUGGUGUUUCACGAACGGCUUCCACGGUGCAUUGGGCAACUCCGCAAACUCUGUAUUCUGACAGUUGUUGUUAG